rnacentral:rRNA from 1 species
AGUGUACGCUGGCGGUAGGCCUAACACAUGCAAGUCGAACGGCAGCACAGUAAGAGCUUGCUCUUACGGGUGGCGAGUGGCGGACGGGUGAGGAAUACAUCGGAAUCUACUUUUUCGUGGGGGAUAACGUAGGGAAACUUACGCUAAUACCGCAUACGACCUACGGGUGAAAGCAGGGGAUCUUCGGACCUUGCGCGAUUGAAUGAGCCGAUGUCGGAUUAGCUAGUUGGCGGGGUAAAGGCCCACCAAGGCGACGAUCCGUAGCUGGUCUGAGAGGAUGAUCAGCCACACUGGAACUGAGACACGGUCCAGACUCCUACGGGAGGCAGCAGUGGGGAAUAUUGGACAAUGGGCGCAAGCCUGAUCCAGCCAUACCGCGUGGGUGAAGAAGGCCUUCGGGUUGUAAAGCCCUUUUGCUGGGAAAGAAAAGCAGCAGGUUAAUACCCCGCUGUUCUGACGGUACCCAAAGAAUAAGCACCGGCUAACUUCGUG